GAAAUGCGAUAAGUAAUGUGAAUUGCAGAAUUCAGUGAAUCAUCGAAUCUUUGAACGCACAUUGCGCCCCUUGGUAUUCCGGGGGGCAUGCCUGUUCGAGCGUCAUUACACCCCUCAAGCUUGGCUUGGUGUUGGGCGUCGCGGUCCCCGCGUGCCCCAAAGUGCCUCGUGCCCGGCGGGUCGUCCGUCCCCGAGCGUUGUGACAUCUCAGUUCGCUCCGGUGGAUGUGGCGGCUUCGCCGUUAAACCCCCCUUUCAGGUUGACCUCGGAUCAGGUAGGGAUACCCGCUGAACUUAA
rnacentral:misc_RNA from 1 species